AAAAAAGCAGGGACCUGGUGCUUUUAUUAUAGCCUUGCCUCUCGUAUACUUCAGGGAAACUGAUAUGUGCAUUGUUAUUGGGUGAAUCUCUUGAUUAGUUACUGAUAGGAAGGUUCAGUAAAUGAUGCUACAUGU